GCCCACGGUGGCUCAGAUGGAUAGAGCGUCUGCCAUGUAAGCAGGAGAUCCGGGUUCGAGUCCCGGUCGGGGCA
rnacentral:tRNA from 1 species